UUGCUAUGAUGAAUCUGAAUUUCUUCACCUGACAACACCGUGAAGACAUAACAAAAUGAGCUUUUUAACCCUGAGCAAU
rnacentral:snoRNA from 1 species